rnacentral:rRNA from 1 species
UACGAAGGUGGCAAGCGUUACCCGGAUUUAUUGGGCGUAAAGCGUCCGCAGAUGGUUUGUAAAGUUCUUGGUUAAAUCUUGAGGCUUAACCUUAAGACCGCUGAGAAGACUUACAAACUAGAGGUUGGGAGAGGUAAGCGGAAUUGCCGGUGUAGUAGUAAAAUGCGUUGAUAUCGGCAGGAACACCAAAAGCGAAAGCAGCUUACUAGAACAUACCUGACAUUCAGGGACGAAAGCGUGGGUAGCGAAUGGG